rnacentral:rRNA from 1 species
UACGUAGGGGCCUAGCGUUGUCCGGAAUUAUUGGGCGUAAAGAGCUCGUAGGCGGUUCGGCAAGUCGGAUGUGAAAUCUCCACGCUUAACGUGGAGGGGCCAUUCGAAACUGCUGUGACUCGAGUCCGGUAGGGGAGUGUGGAAUUCCCGGUGUAGCGGUGAAAUGCGCAGAUAUCGGGAGGAACACCAGUAGCGAAGGCAGCUCUCUGGGACGGUACUGACGCUGAGACGCGAAAGCGUGGGGAGCGAACAAG